ACCACCCUUUUCUUGGGGUUGUACUACUGUUGAAUUAGCACAUAGUGAAGGCAGUAGUGAAAACACCUACACAAUAUAUUCCCAUCAACCAGAGCUUUACCUUGGUGACAUUUUUGGAAAA
rnacentral:ncRNA from 1 species